AUGAACGCUGGCGGCGUGCCUAAUACAUGCAAGUCGAGCGAACGGACGAGAAGCUUGCUUCUCUGAUGUUAGCGGCGGACGGGUGAGUAACACGUGGCUAACCUACCUAUAAGACUGGGAUAACUUCGGGAAACCGGCGCUAAUACCGGAUAAUAUUUUGCACCGCAUGGUUCAAAAGUAAAAGACGGUCUUGCUGUCACUUAUAGAUGGAUCCGCGCUGCAUUAGCUAGUUGGUAAGGUAACGGCUUACCAAGGCAACGAUGCAUAGCCGACCUGAGAGGGUGAUCGGCCACACUGGAACUGAGACACGGUCCAGACUCCUACGGGAGGCAGCAGUAGGGAAUCUUCCGCAAUGGGCGAAAGCCUGACGGAGCAACGCCGCGUGAGUGAUGAAGGUCUUCGGAUCGUAAAACUCUGUUAUUAGGGAAGAACAUAUGUGUAAGUAACUGUGCACAUCUUGACGGUACCUAAUCAGAAAGCCACGGCUAACUACGUG
rnacentral:rRNA from 1 species